GUGUCAGCCGCCGCGGUAAUACGUAGGUGGCAAGCGUUGUCCGGAUUUACUGGGCGUAAAGGAUGCGUAGGUGGAUAUUUAAGUGGGAUGUGAAAUACCCGGGCUCAACUUGGGUGCUGCAUACCAAACUGGAUAUCUAGAGUGCAGGAGAGGAAAGUGGAAUUCCUAGUGUAGCAGUGAAAUGCGUAGAUAUUAGGAGGAACACCAGUGGCGAAGGCGGCUUUCUGGACUGUAACUGACACUGAGGCAUGAAAGCGUGGGGAGCAAACAGGAUUAGAUACCCCAGUAGUCC
rnacentral:rRNA from 1 species